UACGUAGGGGGGCAAGCGUUGUCCGGAUUUAUUGGGCGUAAAGAGCGUGUAGGCGGCCAUACAGGUCAGCUGUGAAAAACUCGAGGCUCAACCUCGAGACGUCGGUUGAAACCGUAUGGCUAGAGUCCGGAAGAGGAGAGUGGAAUUCCCGGUGUAGCGGUGAAAUGCGCAGAUAUCGGGGAAGAACACCCCGUGGCGAAGGCGGCUCUCUGGGGACGGUACUGACGCUGAGACGCGAAAGCGUGGGGGAGCGAACAGG
rnacentral:rRNA from 1 species